AUUCUAGCUGUUUUCAUGAACGCGGAAGGAUCCAUCUCUGUCAGUGCUUGGGGAUUCACGAGUGCCCCCGGGCUGGAGGAAAACUCCCAGGACCAGCAAGAGAGCGGAAGGAGAGGCAGUCGCUGGCCCUAGUCACGGGACAGAAGCUUCCCUCCAAGCUCCAGAGCCCAAGAGCUUCCUGCGGCUGUCGGCUGGCUGGGCCCACCCACCUCUCACCUUCCUGGGGCCUUUGCCUUUCACUAACCCCUGCCACCCUCCCCUCGCUCCUCCUUCAUCCUCCUCUCAGACUCUGCCCUUCUCUCGGACUUGCCCCUGGGGUCUCAGCUCAGGGGUUCUCUGCCCACCCGGUCCCCAUCCCGGCCACCUCUCUCUGCCUGGGAGUUCUCAGCUCCUCCUGGUGCCGCCAGAUCUGCCAGCCCCUCCGCACGUCAGAGCAUGCCCCUUGCCCGUCACCCGCUCCCCGGCACCCCCUGCUCUGUGGGGAGGCCCCCACAGGGAGGAUGAGGGGGCCCUGGGCCUUCCUGGCCUUGAGCAGUCAUGACCAGAGGAGGAGUGUGGCGUGAUGAAGAUGGAUGAGCCUGCGUGGACUCACGCCCCUGCCGUUUCUUCACAGGUGGUCAGGACGCAUUUCUUUCUCGUGGUUCACUCAGUGUUCUGUUCGUUUUCUUACUAAAUGUUUAUUGUUGCUACUGUU